GAGAGUGAUGGUGUUUAGUAGAGUAUGUUGAUGUUUGAAGAAGAGUGAUGGUGUUUAGUAAGGAACAUGGGUGUUUGAAGGACAAUGUUGGUGUUUGGUAGGGAAUGUUGGUGUUUGAAGGAGAAUGCUGGUGUUUGGCAGGGUAUGUUGAUGUUUGAAGGAGAGUGAUGGUGUUUGGUAGGGAAUGUUGAUGUCUGAAGGAGAAUGUUGGUGUUUGGUAGGGUAUGUUGAAGUCUGAAGGAGAAUGCUGGUGUUUGAAGGAGAAUGCUGGUGUUUGAUGGAGAGUGAUGGUGUUUGUUAGGGUAUGUUGAAGUCUGAAGUAGAAUGCUGGUGUUUGAAGGAGAAUGUCGGCAUUUGAAGACGAAUGCUGGUGUUUGGCAGGUGCUUGAUGGACACACUGGUGUUUGAUGGAGAGUGAUGGUGUUCGUUAGGGUAUGCUGGUGUUUGAGAAUGUUGGUAUGGCUUAUUGUCGUAGUGAGCGCUCGUGGUGUUGGAUCACAGUGUUUGGAGCACAAUGUCGGUGUAUGUUAAUUCCUGUUUGUGUUAUCGUCUUUGUAAAUAGUUGUGGUGUUUGAUCAUGGUAUUUGUAAAACAAUGGUGGUGUGUGUUAACUGCUGUUUGUGUCAUCGUCUUAGUGAACGCCUGUGGCGUUUCAACACAGUGUUUGCUGGUCAGUGGUGCUAUGUGUAGUUUGUUCUUUGUGUUACUGUGUUAGUGAAUACUUCUGGUGUUUGAUCGUGGUGUUUGGUGGACAGUCGGGGUGUGUGUUAUUUACAGUUUGUGUUAUUGUCUUACUUCAUGGUGCUCAGUGGACAUCUGUAGUGCACGUUAAUUCGUCUGAGUGAGUGCUGGAGUCUGAUGGUGCUCGUUUCACACUUGUGUCAUGCUGAUUACUGCGCCCGCGGUUAUGAGGUUCUUGCGGAAACAAACACACGACGGUCUCCAGGACUUGCUGACCAAAGUGUAGAGCUGCACAGGAAACUAAAACCGCAGAGACCUUUAUAAAGAUCUCAACUCACUCGCGGUGUAAACG
ensembl:lncRNA